rnacentral:rRNA from 1 species
GAUGAACGCUAGCUCAAGGCUUAACACAUGCAAGUCGAGGGACCGGCGCACGGGUGAGUUACGCGUAUCCAACCUACCCAUAACCAAGGGAUAACCCAGCGAAAGUUGGCCUACUACCUUAUGGUUAUGGUUGGGGAUGCGUCUGAUUAGCUUGUUGGCGGUGUAACGGCCCACCAAGGCAACGAUCAGUAGGGGUUCUGAGGGGAAGGUCCCCCACAUUGGAACUGAGACACGUUCCAUACUCCUACGGGAGGCAGCGGUGUGUAGUAUUAGUCAAUGGACGCUAGUCUGAACCAGCCAAGUAGCGUGCAGAUUGACGGCCUAUGGGUUGUUAACUGCUUUUAUAUGGGGAUAGGUACCAUAUGAAUAAGGACCGGCUAAUUCCGUGCCAGCAGCCGCGGUAAUUC